rnacentral:rRNA from 1 species
GAUGAACGCUGGCGGCGUGCUUAACACAUGCAAGUCGAGCGAGAAAAGUUCUUCGGAGCUUUUCUAGCGGCGGACGGGUGAGUAACACGUGGGCAACCUGCCUCAUAGAGGGGAAUAGCCUUCCGAAAGGAAGAUUAAUACCGCAUAACAUUGUUGAAAGGCAUCUUUUAACAAUCAAAGGAGCAAUCCGCUAUGAGAUGGGCCCGCGGCGCAUUAGCUAGUUGGUGAGGUAACGGCUCACCAAGGCGACGAUGCGUAGCCGACCUGAGAGGGUGGUAGGGCACAUUGGAACUGAGACACGGUCCAGACUCCUACGGGAAGCAGCAGUGGGGAAUAUUGCACAAUGGGGGAAACCCUGAUGCAGCAACGCCGCGUGAGUGAUGAAGGUCGUCGGAUUGUAAAGCUCUGUCUUUAGGGACGAUAAUGACGGUACCUAAGGAGGAAGCCACGGCUAACUACGUGCCAGCCGCCGCCGUAACAC